rnacentral:tRNA from 1 species
GCUUCGGUGGCUCAGUCAGUAGAGCGCGUGCUUGGUAAGCACGAGGUCGGGGGUGCAAUUCCCCCCCGAAGCU